rnacentral:piRNA from 1 species
UGCUGGGAGCAGAUUGCAAAUGGAGCUCU